rnacentral:tRNA from 1 species
GGCGAAGUAGCUCAGUUGGUUAGAGCAACGGAAUCAUAAUCCGUGUGUCGGGGGUUCGAGUCCCUCCUUCGCUACCA